CCUACGGGCGGCAGCAGUGGGGAAUAUUGCACAAUGGGGGGAACCCUGAUGCAGCAACGCCGCGUGGAUGAAGAAGGUUUUCGGCUCGUAAAGCCCUAUCGGCAGGGAAGAAAAUGACGGUACCUGACCAAGAAGCCCCGGCUAACUCCGUGCCAGCAGCCGCGGUAAUACGGAGGGUGCAAGCGUUAUCCGGAUUUACUGGGUGUAAAGGGGGCGCAGACGGGAAUGCAAGUCAGAAGUGAAAGCCUAUGGCCUAACCCCAGGACUGCAUUUGAAACUGCAAGGCUGGAGUAUAGGAGGGGCAGGUGGAAUUCUUGGUGUAGGGGUGAAAUGCGUAGAGAUUAGGAAGAAUACGCGUGGCGAAGGCGAGCUUCUGGACCGUAACUGACGCUGAGGCUCGAAAGCGUGGGGAGCAAACAGGAUUAGAUACCCUAGUAGUC
rnacentral:rRNA from 1 species